rnacentral:rRNA from 1 species
CGCGCACCGCCCGCGACACGCGUGGCUUCUUUUUCUUAUCCCUUCAUUGCUCAUCUCCUUCCUUAUCCAGUCGCGUCUUCCUCCCCAUCCACUCACAUCCCGGGCGCGCUCGUCGCCAUAGCUGCCGGCAACUUGAUGCUCCUCGUUUUGAAUCAUGCGCGGAUCACCGGCGCCGGAUUCACCCCUCUCCAUGGCCGUCGACAGCCAGGGGCGCGCUCGUCGCCUUGUCCACCGGCAACUGGACGAACGCCCUCUCCAUGGUAACCAUAGCCAGGGCUUCGUUAGUUCACCAUGACCAAGCUGCAAUCGGCCACGGCAGCGACGAGUCUGUGCUGGAGCCGGAGGGUUGGUGGAACCAGAUUUUUUAUUUGCUGGAUCCACUCAUUAUUUUUGCUACAACCCUUUUCUUUUUUGCUACCAUCCUCAUUUGAUUUGAUGAACUUUUUUCAUUUUUGCUGGAAGCGGUGUCCCGAUUUGCUGGAACCAGCUGGUGGAUGUGCUGCAAGGUUGACACCUCGCCGGAGGAAGCUGCAUCCAGUGGGGAGGAGGGCUGCAUCCAACGUCGUUCAAACACCGGGAGUUGCAACCAUGUACGCCGGAGCUACAACCGGUGACCAGGGGAGCUGCAAGAAGGGGGUGGCCGUUUUUGCUGAUGUUUUUUUCUUUUUUACAGAACCAAAAUUUUUGUUUUUGCUGGAACCGAUGUAUUGUUUUGCUGGAGCAGAUGUAAUUUUUUGCUUCAUCGGCUGCAGAGCUCUCAAAUGUUUCAUGUCGUUUUUGCUGGAACCUAAGUUUGGUUUUGCUGGAAGCGUUGUUUGAUUUUGCUUCAAUCAACCACUGGAAUUCUGUAGGUACGAUGCAUGUCGAUGGAGGCCAGCAGAGACGGCGACGCCUGCGGCGAGCUCGACGGCGAGGACGGAGGGGGGUGGUGCACCAAAUGCUGCAACCACGGGGGCGGGGAGCUUCAACCGCUGCCGAUGGAGGCUCCGUGUCAGCCAUGGCCAAGUUUAGCGGGGGAUCCGACCACGGCGAAAGCUGCGAACGAGUGAGAUGGUUGGGAGGAGCAGUGACGCGCGUGCGAAGGAGGCAACCUACGGCGAGGGCAGCAACCGGUGGCGAGGGCGGUGACCGGCGUUGGGGGCGGCCAAGCCGGGUGGUGCUUCGAGUCGGGGGCCUCGCUCAUCCAUGGCGGCUAGAUGCGUACGCGGAGGAAGGAAAAAGAAGCUGGGGCGAUUUGUUUGCUUUUUUUUGCCCGGAUCCAACGGUCGCACGGCUUAAAUCCAACGGCCUGGGCUAGACCGGCCGAAAGUUUCGGCCGACGCUUAGGUAGGUAUAUAUAUAUAUAUGGGACACCUAGGUGCUCGGGCACCUUGCUUGUUUUAGGUAGGUAUCGCUGCACAAUGAUUGUUUGAUUUCUUUCCUAACUAUUCUUCAUGCAAGGCUUUUCAUUCUUACAUUUUGUUUCCAUUUUUAAAUAUUAGGCAUGCAAAACUUGCCAUACAAUAAAUCGUAUUAUUGUUUAUUUUUUCUGACCUACUAUGGGUGUCUAAUACACGUAUUUUUGUCUCCUAACUAUCUAAUACCGGUAUCAAAUACUUACUAACGAAACUAUGCACAUAAGCGGGUAUUAUAUACCCAAUAAAUUAUUUUCUGAACUACUAUGUUCUUUUUUUGUUUCCU